rnacentral:rRNA from 1 species
UACGAAGGGGGCGAGCGUUGUUCGGAAUUACUGGGCGUAAAGGGCGCGCAGGCGGCCCUUGAAGUCAGGCGUGAAAGCCUUGAGCUCAACUCAAGAAAUGCAUUCAGGACUGGGCGACUAGAGGACCGGAGAGGAUAGUGGAAUUCCCAGUGUAGUGGUGAAAUACGUAGAGAUUGGGAAGAACACCAGUGGCGAAGGCGGCUAUCUGGACGGUUUCUGACACUAAGACUCGAAAGCGUGGGGAGCAAACAGG